CAGUAAAUAGUUUAAUAAAAAUAUAGUAUUUGGGUUACUAAGAUAUUAUUANUGA
rnacentral:tRNA from 1 species